rnacentral:rRNA from 1 species
AGAGUUUGAUCAUGGCUCAGGAUAAACGCUGGCGGCGCACAUAAGACAUGCAAGUCGAACGAACUUAACUCAUUCUUUUAGAUUGAGAGCGGUUAGUGGCGGACUGGUGAGUAACACGUAAGCAACCUGCCUAUCAGAGGGGAAUAACAGUGAGAAAUCAUUGCUAAUACCGCAUAAGCUAGUAAUAUCGCAUGAUAUAGCUAGAAAAGGAGUAAUCCGCUGAUAGAUGGGCUUGCGUCUGAUUAGCUAGUUGGUGGGGUAACGGCCUACCAAGGCGACGAUCAGUAGCCGAACUGAGAGGUUGAACGGCCACAUUGGGACUGAGAUACGGCCCAGACUCCUACGGGAGGCAGCAGUCGGGAAUAUUGCGCAAUGGAGGAAACUCUGACGCAGUGACGCCGCGUAUAGGAAGAAGGUUUUCGGAUUGUAAACUAUUGUCGUUAGGGAAGAAAUUGACAGUACCUAAGGAGGAAACUCCGGCUAACUAUGUGCCAACAGCCGCGGUAAUACAUAGGGAGCAAGCGUUAUCCGGAAUUAUUGG